UCGAGAAUCUUUCGCAAUGGGCGCAAGCCUGACGAAGCGACGCCGUGUGAGCGAAGAAGGCCUUCGGGUUGUAAAGCUCUUUCGCUUGGGAACAAGGGAGGGGUACGAAUAGUGCUCUGACUUGAGUGUACUAGGUAAAGAAGCACCGGCUAACUCCGUGCCAGCAGCUGCGGUAAUACGGAGGGUGCAAGCGUUAAUCGGAAUUAUUGGGCGUAAAGGGCGCGUAGGUGGGGAAGAAAGUCAGAUGUGAAAUUCUUGAGCUCAACUCAAGACGUGCAUUUGAAACUUCUUUUCUUGAGGGUAGACGGAGAAAACAGAAUUCCACAAGUAGCGGUGAAAUGCGUAGAUAUGUGGAAGAAUACCGGUGGCGAAGGCGGUUUUCUAGUUUAACCCUGACACUGAGGCGCGAAAGCAAGGGGAUCAAACA
rnacentral:rRNA from 1 species